rnacentral:rRNA from 1 species
UACGAAGGGGGCGAGCGUUGUUCGGAUUUACUGGGCGUAAAGGGCGCGUAGGCGGCCACCGCAAGUCGACUGUGAAAUCUCCGGGCUUAACCCGGAAAGGUCAGCCGAUACUGCGGGGCUAGAGUGCAGAAGGGGCAACUGGAAUUCUCGGUGUAGCGGUGAAAUGCGUAGAUAUCGAGAGGAACACCUGCGGCGAAGGCGGGUUGCUGGGCUGACACUGACGCUGAGGCGCGAAAGCCAGGGGAGCAAACGGG